GAAGUAAAAUGUUAAAUAUUUAAUCUGUGCUUCAUGUUUGUCAGUUAUCGUUAACCUGCUCAAAAAAAAACACAAAUUGUUGCUUAGCAAUCAGUGAAGACGCCCCCCAACACACACACACGCGGGCAACAAAAAGUCAAGCCAGCCCCCAAACAAACGCAAUCAACAACAUCAUCAAUGGUAACUGCGGCGUCAAUAGUUCAGGGAAAGAUAAACCAAGACAGGCGGACAGACAGUCUUGUCAGACGAAUGAAUGGAUGAAUGGAUGGAUGGAUGGAUGGAUGGAUGGAUGGAUGGAUAGACGGUUGAAUGGAUGGACCAAGAAGUAGUCAAGCUGCUAACGAUUAUUUAAAAUGGGUGGCAACGCCAACGAGCAUACAAACAAGACCGUGAGGAGUUUGUCUAGCAUCAGGUUGCCGCUCACGGGGCGUAUGCGCAACGCUGGUUUAGCAUCGUUGGGCGGUCUCAAAAGUUGCAGAAGAAAAGUUCCAAGAAAUUUAAUUUAUAUUUUCUGCUUUUUUCGGAUUUAAUUUUCUUAAAUAUUUCACCUGUGGUUUACGUUUCAUCAAGGUGUAACUAAGACCCACACACACGCAUCCGCUGCGUAUACGUAAUCUGUGGCAUGCCGUAGCCGCAACGUUAACAGAGGGGCUCCACUUGAGAUGUACUUUUCAAGCUUGCAACAAUUUCCGAAGAUUCCAACCUUGGCAAUACUCCUUUUUUUUCCAUCUUUGUUGUUCUUGAUGUUCAACCUCGUAUCUAUGUCUGGCAUCUAGUAAACGCUUGCCGUAAAUAUAGCCAUUUAUGAUUUGCUUAAACAACCAAAAGCAGCAAAACACGUAAGAAAUUGCCAAUACAAAAAUAUCAGUUUCAACCUGUACAAAUUGUGCUCUAAGGUUGGAGGAUUAUCCUUGAGCGAAUGCAGAAUCCUAAUUGAAAAGAAUUCAUCUCGAAUGCAAAUUUUUAAAAUGUAUUGGCAAUUUAAAAGGAUUUUAUUGCUAUGAUUGGAUUUUCAUCUUGUUAUUUUUGCCAUUUGUAAGCCGCUUUUCAUUUGUUGUUGCACUUGCACUUAUGUAAGUUAUUUUUCGAUUAUUAAAUUUAUAAUAUUGAGUUGAACAGCAAAAUGAUAUCAUGCUUUGAAUUGAAUCGGUUAUUGGCCUCUAUUGCCCCCUAUUAAACGCAAUUGUGCUCUGAUGCACGUUGAACUAAAGUACAGACAAGCAUAUAUACGUUGUAUUCCCUAUAAAUUGGUGUACAUUU